UGGGCGUAAGCGCGCGUAGGUGGUUCGUUAAGUUGGAUGUGAAAUCCCCGGGCUCAACCUGGGAACUGCAUUCAAAACUGUCGAGCUAGAGUAUGGUAGAGGGUGGUGGAAUUUCCUGUGUAGCGGUGAAAUGCGUAGAUAUAGGAAGGAACACCAGUGGCGAAGGCGACCACCUGGACUGAUACUGACACUGAGGUGCGAAAGCGUGGGGAGCAAACAGGAUUA
rnacentral:rRNA from 1 species